CCUACGGGAGGCAGCAGUGAGGAAUAUUGGUCAAUGGACGAGAGUCUGAACCAGCCAAGUAGCGUGAAGGAUGACUGCCCUAUGGGUUGUAAACUUCUUUUAUAUGGAAAUAAAACGUUCCACGUGUGGGAUUUUGUAUGUACCAUAUGAAUAAGGAUCGGCUAACUCCGUGCCAGCAGCCGCGGUAAUACGGAGGAUCCGAGCGUUAUCCGGAUUUAUUGGGUUUAAAGGGAGCGUAGGUGGAUUGUUAAGUCAGUUGUGAAAGUUUGCGGCUCAACCGUAAAAUUGCAGUUGAAACUGGCAGUCUUGAGUACAGUAGAGGUGGGCGGAAUUCGUGGUGUAGCGGUGAAAUGCUUAGAUAUCACGAAGAACUCCGAUUGCGAAGGCAGUUCACUGGACUGCAACUGACACUGAGGCUCGAAAGUGUGGGUAUCAAACAGGAUUAGAUACCCCAGUAGUC
rnacentral:rRNA from 1 species